GUGGGGUUCAUCCCACCCAGACCACAGAGACUGAAAAUAAGAAAGGGGUGAGGCCUAAGGGACAAUCAGGAUGUUUUUCAGAGAGAAGUGUGGAUGCUGGACAGGAAGAACCACAGAUACCAGAUACGGGUACUGUUGUAACUCUGUUCUCCAUGAAAACUGCGUAUCUUCUGGAUACGGAAGGAUCACACUGCACAGAGUGCUGGACUUGCAGGAGCCCCGCUUCUCAACCUCCAUCGCUUUAUGAAUGAAUUCACCAGAAAGAAAAGGAAGAAUCAACACUUUCAGAGAUGGAGCCUGUUGAGCCACAGUACCAACUAGUCAAUGCUGAAUCGACUUCUCCCUUUCUACAUUGCCUGAGAGAAGUCAUUGGGGAAUACUCUGUACACGAAUUUUCACUGUUGGGGAAAACAGGUAUUGGAAGUGAUGGGUAGACCUCAGUUUGUAUGCAUUGUGUUAAUUACUAUUUCUUUGCUUUUCCUUUUUUUGUGCGGUUGCAGAGAGUCAAGGGAUUGGAUUGUGGAUUGCAUUGGUGGUUUUCCUCAGUUUCCUCAUCUUCUCCACAAGUUUCUACAUAUCGAAUGCAGAGCAGCCCUUCUUCAAAGGACCUCCUACGGAAGCUGCUAAGGAACUCAGUCUGUAGCUCUGCGUGGAGCCAUGUGUAAACACUGAACUGAGACCUGCCACCUCCUACUACCUAAGGGCCCAUUUUCAUCUGAUAUCAUCCCCCAGAAACAAACUCAUGAUGACUUCCAUGUUUUUUUUAGAUUAGAUACAUGGAGAAUUUUCCUUUCCCUUAGAAUUAAAAUCCUGCAUUCUAAUUUUCAGU
rnacentral:lncRNA from 1 species